UCACAUUGAAACACCAGUUUCUAUAUGUUCACCAAAGUUAAGCAACAUCAAGCCUAGUCAGUACCUAGAUGGUUGAACACUUGGGAAUACCAGGUGCUGUAAG